GCUCACUAGCGUACAUUGGCACGCCAAGAGCAGCCAGUUCAGGCUCUGAAUCUCCAUGACUGGACCUGGGGUGAACACUUCUGUUUUUAGCGCAGCUGUCUGGUCAAUAAUUAGCUUCAAACGCGGGCUGGGCAAGGUUUAAUGCUUAUAACAUUGGAAUUCAAAUCCAUAAAUUCCAACGGCCCAGUCAACGGCAGGAGCAGGCUAAAGCGACGAGGUUUCUUGCAGGAUGAACAGUAUUCCGCUCCUCAUUCCCUUUGCAUUUAUCUUCCUACUGGUAUGUGUAACCCCUGAGCCAAUUGGAAAUGAAGAUGGAUGGAAAUCUUUAGAGAAGCAACAAAACAGGGACUUGUUUUUCCGAAUCCUUCAGUCCUAUUUCACUGGUAGAGGGAUGAAUUUUGGACUUGGAAGAAAAGAAAAGCUUCAUGGAAGAUAUGAAAGCAAAAUUGGUUCAUAUGAUGACAAAUUCAACAACAAUCUGG